UACGGGGAGGAGCAGCUGUUGGUGAAUUAUUGGGCGUAAAGAGCUCGUAGGUGGUUUGUUACGUCUGCUGUGAAAUCCUAGGGCUUAACCCUGGGCUUGCAGUGGAUACGGGCAGACUAGAGGUAGGUAGGGGAGAAUGGAAUUCCUGGUGUAGCGGUGAAAUGCGCAGAUAUCAGGAGGAACACCGGUGGCGAAGGCGGUUCUCUGGGCAUUACCUGACGCUGAGGAGCGAAAGUGUGGGGAGCGAACAGG
rnacentral:rRNA from 1 species